rnacentral:rRNA from 1 species
GUGAAAUUCCGUCGGAAUCUGGGAGGACCAUCUCCUAAGGCUAAAUACUCUCUAGUGACCGAUAGUGAACCAGUACCGUGAGGGAAAGGUGAAAAGCACCCCGGAAGGGGAGUGAAAUAGAACCUGAAACCGUGUGCUUACAAGUAGUCAGAGCCCGUUAAUGGGUGAUGGCGUGCCUUUUGUAGAAUGAACCGGCGAGUUACGAUUUGAUGCAAGGUUAAGCAGUAAAUGUGGAGCCGUAGCGAAAGCGAGUCUGAAUAGGGCGUUUAGUAUUUGGUCGUAGACCCGAAACCAGGUGAUCUACCCUUGGUCAGGUUGAAGUUCAGGUAACACUGAAUGGAGGACCGAACCGACUUACGUUGAAAAGUGAGCGGAUGAACUGAGGGUAGCGGAGAAAUUCCAAUCGAACCUGGAGAUAGCUGGUUCUCUCCGAAAUAGCUUUAGGGCUAGCCUCAAGUGAUGAUUAUU